rnacentral:rRNA from 1 species
CAGCCGCCACGGUAAUACAGAGGGUGCGAGCGUUAAUCGGAUUUACUGGGCGUAAAGCGUGCGUAGGCGGCUAAUUGAGUCGGAUGUGAAAUCCCCGAGCUUAACUUGGGAAUUGCAUUCGAUACUGGUUAGCUAGAGUGUGGGAGAGGAUGGUAGAAUUCCAGGUGUAGCGGUGAAAUGCGUAGAGAUCUGGAGGAAUACCGAUGGCGAAGGCAGCCAUCUGGCCUAACACUGACGCUGAGGUACGAAAGCAUGGGGAGCAAACAGGAUUAGAUACCCCGGUAGUCCCUGUCUCUUAUAU